CCUGGAAACAGAUGCUAAUACCGGAUAACAACAGAUGAUGCCUAUCAACUGUUUAAAAGAUGGUUCUGCUAUCACUCUUGGAUGGACCUGCGGUGCAUUAGCUAGUUGGUAGGGUAACGGCCUACCAAGGCGAUGAUGCAUAGCCGAGUUGAGAGACUGAUCGGCCACAUUGGGACUGAGACACGGCCCAAACUCCUACGGGAGGCAGCAG
rnacentral:rRNA from 1 species